AUACUUACUUGGCAGGGGAAAUGUGAUGAUCACUAAGGUGGUUUUCCCAGGGCAAGGCUCAUCCAUUGCACUCUGGGUGUGCUGACCUCUGUGGUUUCCCCAAAUGUGGCAAACCUGACUUCCUAGUUUUUGUUAGUGGGGGACUGCAUUUGCCUUUUCCCCUA
rnacentral:snRNA from 1 species